rnacentral:rRNA from 1 species
UACGUAGGCAGCAAGCGUUGUUCGGAAUUACUGGGCGUAAAGAGUGUGUAGGCGGUGCUCUAAGUUCGGUGUGAAAUCUCCCGGCUUAACUGGGAGGGGGCGCCGGAAACUGGAGUGCUUGAGCGCGGGAGAGGAAAGCGGAAUUCCUGGUGUAGCGGUGAAAUGCGUAGAUAUCAGGAGGAACACCUGUGGUGUAGACGGCUUUCUGGACCGUAGCUGACGCUGAGACACGAAAGCGUGGGUAGCAAACAGG